GUGCCUUAAGAGCAUUCGGUGGAUGCCUUGGCGCUGAGAGGCGAUGAAGGACGUGGUACGCUGCGAUAAGCCUUGGGGAGCUGCGAACGAGCUUUGAUCCAGGGAUUUCCGAAUGGGGAAACCCACCUUCGACCUUCCGUAUGGUGGUGCGGGCGCGAGCCCGCACUUCCAUACGGUCGGUCAGAUGAAGGUAUCAAAUCCUGAAUCCAUAGGGGUUUGAAGCGAACCCGGGGAACUGAAACAUCUCAGUACCCGGAGGAAAGGACAUCAACGAGACUCCGUUAGUAGUGGCGAGCGAACGCGGAUCAGGCCAGUGCCUGUUGUGAGAUUACCGGAACGGUCUGGAAAGGCCGGCGUGAUGGGUGACAGCCCCGUACGGGACGGUUGAUCGACAGGACUCGAGUAGGGCGGGACACGUGAAAUCCUGUCUGAACAUGGGGGGACCACCCUCCAAGCCUAAGUACUCCUCAGCGACCGAUAGCGAACCAGUACCGUGAGGGAAAGGUGAAAAGCACCCCGACGAGGGGAGUGAAAGAGUACCUGAAACCGGAUGCUUACAAACAGUGGGAGCCCAAGGUUUGUCCUGGGUGACCGCGUACCUUUUGUAUAAUGGGUCAGCGACUUAAAGUUACGAGCGAGCUUAAGCCGAUAGGUGGAGGCGCAGCGAAAGCGAGUCUGAACAGGGCGUUCAGUUCGUGGCUUUAGACCCGAAACCGAGUGAUCUAGCCAUGUGCAGGAUGAAGGUGGGGUAACACCCACUGGAGGUCCGAACCAGUGCCCGUUGAAAAGGUCUUGGAUGACGUGUGGCUAGGGGUGAAAGGCCAAUCAAACUCGGAAAUAGCUGGUUCUCCGCGAAAGCUAUUUAGGUAGCGCCUC
rnacentral:rRNA from 1 species